GAGCAAGCGUUGUUCGGAUUUACUGGGCGUAAAGGGCGCGUAGGCGGUCAGCACAAGUCAGUUGUGAAAUCUCCGAGCUUAACUCGGAAAGGUCAACUGAUACUGUGCGACUAGAGUGCAGAAGGGGCAACUGGAAUUCUUGGUGUAGCGGUGAAAUGCGUAGAUAUCAAGAGGAACACCUGCGGCGAAGGCGGGUUGCUGGGCUGACACUGACGCUGAAGUGCGAAAGCCAGGGGAGCGAACGGG
rnacentral:rRNA from 1 species